GGGUUCUAGGUAUGUGCUGC
rnacentral:piRNA from 1 species